ACACGUAGGAGGCGAGCGUUAUCCGGAUUUACUGGGUGUAAAGCGCGUGCAGGCGGUUCAGAAAGUUGGAUGUGAAAGCUCCUGGCUUAACUGGGAGAGGUCGUUCAAUACUUCUGGACUCGAGUAUGGGAGAGGGAGGUGGAAUUCCGGGUGUAGUGGUGAAAUGCGUAGAUAUCCGGAGGAACACCAGUGGCGAAAGCGGCCUCCUGGCCCAUUACUGACGCUCAGACGCGAAAGCUAGGGUAGCAAACGGGAUUAGAGACCCCGGUAGUCCUAGCUGUAAACGAUGUGAACUUGGCGUUGGUGGGUUCAAAUCCAUCAGUGCCGGAGCUAACGCGUUAAGUUCACCACCUGGGGACUACGGCCGCAAGGUUAAA
rnacentral:rRNA from 1 species